CCUACGGGAGGCAGCAGUGAGGAAUAUUGGUCAAUGGACGAGAGUCUGAACCAGCCAAGUAGCGUGAAGGAUGACUGCCCUACGGGUUGUACACUUCUUUUAUAAAAGAAUAAAACGAGGCACGUGUGCCUUUUUGCAUGUACUUUAUGAAUAAGGAUCGGCUAACUCCGUGCCAGCAGCCGCGGUAAUACGGAGGAUCCGAGCGUUAUCCGGAUUUAUUGGGUUUAAAGGGAGCGUAGAUGGGUUGUUAAGUCAGUUGUGAAAGUUUGCGGCUCAACCGUAAAAUUGCAAUUGAUACUGGCAGUCUUGAUUACAGUUGAGGUAGGCGGAAUUCGUGGUGUAGCGGUGAAAUGCUUAGAUAUCACGAAGAACCCCGAUUGCGAAGGCAGCUUACUAAACUGCGACUGACAUUGAUGCUCGAAAGUGUGGGUAUCAAACAGGAUUAGAUAUCCCAGUAGUC
rnacentral:rRNA from 1 species